UCUACCUCAAACACAAGCACAAAUAAAUCUUUCUCUUUAAAUUUCCAACUAUAAACCCUAAAAAAGAAAGACCCUAAACAUUAAACAAAAAAUACAAAACCUUAAACCUUAAAAACCCCUAAAUCCAAAAAAACAAAGGGUCAAAGAGAGAGAAACUAAAGGCACGUCUUGUUGAACGCGUUUUUUUCUCUCUCCAAAAUCGAUAUAUUUCUUUAAAUAUAUCCGAAAUCAACCAAAAAAAAAAAAAAAAGCUUAUCAAGCGGCACAACUCAACAAGUCAAAUGACGUAUCUUAUUAAAGAAAAAUACAUUUUAAAUCACGAAUCGGGUCAGCAAAAUCGGCGCUCCAACUAUUGUUAAAAAGAUACCAAAC
rnacentral:lncRNA from 1 species